AGUGAACGCUGGCGGUAGGCCUAACACAUGCAAGUCGAACGGCAGCACAGUAAGAGCUUGCUCUUACGGGUGGCGAGUGGCGGACGGGUGAGGAAUACAUCGGAAUCUACUUUUUCGUGGGGGAUAACGUAGGGAAACUUACGCUAAUACCGCAUACGCCCUACGGGUGAAAGCAGGGGAUCUUCGGACCUUGCGCGUUUGAAUGAGCCGAUGUCGGAUUAGCUAGUUGGCGGGGUAAAGGCCCACAAAGGCGACGAUCCGUAGCUGGUCUGAGAGGAUGAUCAGCCACACUGGAACUGAGACACGGUCCAGACUCCUACGGGAGGCAGCAGUGGGGAAUAUUGGACAAUGGGCGCAAGCCUGAUCCAGCCAUACCGCGUGGGUGAAGAAGGCCUUCGGGUUGUAAAGCCCUUUUGUUGGGAAAGAAAAGCAGCAGGUUAAUACCCCGCUGUUCUGACGGUGCCCAAAGAAUAAGCACCGGCUAACUUCGUG
rnacentral:rRNA from 1 species